rnacentral:misc_RNA from 1 species
GGCAACUUUAACAAUCAACAUACCACUUUUGAGCCCGACAAAUGACACUCGACCCUUCCAAUAAGGCGGACACCUAAGCUAUUGUACGCCCUCAAGCAACUGUUGUGCUGUUAAAUUACACUCUGCCCGAUAUUGCAUCAUUUGCACCUAGGCCCGAUAUCGCAUUAUGCUCGAAGAACUACAUCAUUAUAUUAUGCCCGAGAUUGCAGAAAUGCAUUAUUGCAUGUGCUCGAUAUUUCAUGUGUCCGAAGAAAUGCAUCAUUGCAUCUGUUCGAUAUUGCAUGUGCCCGAAGAAAUGCAUCAUUGCAUGUGCCCGAUAUUACAUUGUGCCCUAAGAAACACAUCAUUGCAUGUGCCUGAAGAAAUGCAUCAUUGCAUUGUGCCCGAAGU